ensembl:lncRNA
GAAAUGCUUCAGGACCGGCAGACGUGCAUGAUUCCCCAGUGACAGCAGGACUACAAAAGCCAUUCACAACAUCCCUGUUGAUUCCACUUUACUUCUUGCUUGCUCAUAAACCUGCAAAAGGAUUAACCAAGAAGUUUCACAGAAAUCGCCACAGUAUUCUUUCUAACCCUUCUCUUGCUGCCCUGGUGCAACCAAAUUCCUAUUGAAAACACUGGAUAUUUGGAGCACACAACACUUCUUCCUAAAGCAGAGGAAAGGGGCAGAAGGCAGUGGUAAGGCACAGUCACAUCUCCACCGUUACAGUUAUUCAGAAGCAUGACUCUGGAUGGAUCCAAACCUGUUCUGGGAUGCAUGACAACAGUCCCCCGACAAACAACAACAAAAAAGGAGUAUUUGAAAUAGGAAGAAAUGCGAGAAAAAAAUAACAUCUGCAAAGAAACACUGCAAAGAAAAAACAUCUGGAACUUCUAUAGCAGAUUAUGCAAAAGAAUACCCUGCCCACAAAGACUUUGUUUUACCUAUCCAUGAAAAACAGCUGCUGAGUCAGUUAGAAUCAGCCCACUCCAUUUGUCUAUGCUUCAGCUUUCAAGCUAACUAAAGUUUCUACCACUUAACACAAUGCUAACUGUUCGAGCAAGACAUAUUGAGCAAAGACAAAUACCAUCCUACCUAGGGGCCUCUCUGGUCCCUGUGAAUUCAGACAAAACACUGCAAGAGACCUCAUCCUGUGAAGUGAUUCUGGGCCUCGACACAACUGUUGCAGCAAAAAUGUGGAACUGAGAGUAAAGCGGAGGCAAGUUUCAAGUCCCUGUCAGUAAGCCCUGCUGUGGCAACCUCACACACCAAAGGGAUGGUUUCUACCAAGGUUUUCCACAUGCCCAUUGGCACCACAGAGUUACGAAGAGGAAACGCAACCGCUGUUCUCAAGAAAUCACACACGCCAGCUCUGCAGGACAUUAUGGCUGUUCUUGUGCAGGCAGGAGGAUUUCCAAGCAGUUCG